rnacentral:rRNA from 1 species
AGCGAACGCUGGCGGCAGGCUUAACACAUGCAAGUCGAGCGGGCGUAGCAAUACGUCAGCGGCAGACGGGCGAGUAACGCGUGGGAACGUACCUUUUGGUUCGGAACAACACAGGGAAACUUGUGCUAAUACCGGAUAAGCCCUUACGGGGAAAGAUUUAUCGCCGAAAGAUCGGCCCGCGUCUGAUUAGCUAGUUGGUGAGGUAAUGGCUCACCAAGGCGACGAUCAGUAGCUGGUCUGAGAGGAUGAUCAGCCACAUUGGGACUGAGACACGGCCCAAACUCCUACGGGAGGCAGCAGUGGGGAAUAUCGGACAAUGGGCGCAAGCCUGAUCCAGCCAUGCCGCGUGAGUGAUGAAGGCCCUAGGGUUGUAAAGCUCUUUUGUGCGGGAAGAUAAUGACGGUACCGCAAGAAUAAGCCCCGGCUAACUUCGUGCCAGCCGCCGCCGUAAGAC